GAUGCUCAGAAGUCAGGGCUAAAACAGGCUAUGGAAGAAAUGGAAAAGAUCAAAGCCCAGAGUUUAAAAGCUGAAGCAAAACAGCCCCGAGGCCCGAUGGCUGAGGCGGAACCGGCACCAGUCAUACCAGGAAAUGCCCAACCUCUGCCUCCUGGUCACCAACAGCAGGACGUGCCAGUGCCAGGACACUCCUAGGCCUCCCCCUCCCCGUCACCCUGUCUGUUAUGAGUGAGCGUCUUUGUACGUUUUCUUUUCGUGAACCAAUUUUUCUGCUUAGAAAACUAAUAUCCUGAUUAAUGAAAGGCAAAAACAGCCCAAAACCAUCACGCGUCCCCUGAAUGAAGCCGAUUUAGGGAUCAGAUUUAGCGCCAGUGCCAACCCUCCCUUUAGCUAGCCAAAUCAGCUGAACGAGCCAGAGUUUUCCUGACGGACAAUCACUUAUUUUGUUUUGGGUUUUUCAAACUUCUAUCCCAACAAGGACUCUGUGUCCUCAGUGGGAAAAUUCUCCUUAAAUGAAGGGUUUUGUUUCGGGCACUGUGGUUUACUGUAGAAGAUAUUAUCUACAGCAAACCCCAUCAACAUGUAUUUUUGUUAUUAAGAGAUAAUCUUGAAGAAGAAAAAAAAGAAUGUGAGUAAAGAAUCAUUUUGGUUGAAAUUCCCUUACCCACUUCCUGUUUUACACGUAGCAUUUCUGUUUUGUAGCCGCUGCGUCUUCUGGACCGGACGAUGGAAGAAAAGCUCAUCUCUACACUGUACAUUGAAUUUGAAUUUUUCACAACUGUGACUUCCAGCGACAAAUCUGUGAUACCUGAUGUGGUUCUUUGUGUUUAGUAUGUCCACCACUGCUCCAUAGAGUUCGUGUUGUGUUCAUGAUAAUUUAUUUAUUCUAUAAAUCCACUGGAAAUUUCCUCCCUUCAAGAAGUUUAAUAACAUAAAUGAAGAGUAUGAGUUAAUUCUCAGGGGACUUUAGAUUGUUUUAUUUAAUCAUGAUUUUAUGUUACUUAAACAUUGCAGUAAAACAUAAAACUGGUAAAACUUUUUUUUUUGUCUUCAUUGAUAAGUGUCCUGUGGAAUGAUGUCAUGGUGUACAUGGUUUGACUGUUACUAAUUAAAUGAAUGACCUUGCAAGUGUAA